rnacentral:rRNA from 1 species
GCACGGGUGAGUAACACGUAUCCAACCUGCCGUCUACUCUUGGACAGCCUUCUAAAAAGGAAGAUUAAUACAAGAUGGCAUCAUGAGUCCGCAUGUUCACAUGAUUAAAGGUAUUCCGGUAGACGAUGGGGAUGCGUUCCAUUAGAUAGUAGGCGGGGUAACGGCCCACCUAGUCUUCGAUGGGUAGGGGUUCUGAGAGGAAGGUCCCCCACAUUGGAACUGAGACACGGUCCAAACUCCUACGGGAGGCAGCAGUGAGGAAUAUUGGUCAAUGGGCGAGAGCCUGAACCAGCCAAGUAGCGUGAAGGAUGACUGCCCUAUGGGUUGUAAACUUCUUUUAUAAAGGAAUAAAGUCGGGUAUGGAUACCCGUUUGCAUGUACUUUAUGAAUAAGGAUCGGCUAACUCCGUGCCAGCAGCCGCGGUAAUACGGAGGAUCCGAGCGUUAUCCGGAUUUAUUGGGUUUAAAGGGAGCGUAGAUGGAUGUUUAAGUCAGUUGUGAAAGUUUGCGGCUCAACCGUAAAAUUGCAGUUGAUACUGGAUAUCUUGAGUGCAGUUGAGGCAGGCGGAAUUCGUGGUGUAGCGGUGAAAUGCUUAGAUAUCACGAAGAACUCCGAUUGCGAAGGCAGCCUGCUAAAGCUGCAACUGACAUUGAGGCUCGAAAGUGUGGGUAUCAAACAGGAUUAGAUACCCUGGUAGUCCACACGGUAAACGAUGAAUACUCGCUGUUUUGCGAUAUACUGCAAGCGGCCAAGGCGAAAGCGUUAAGUAUUCCACCUGGGGAGUACGCCGGCAACGGUGAAACUCAAAGGAAUUGACGGGGGCCCGCACAAGCGGAGGAACAUGUGGUCUAAUUCGAUGAUACGCGAGGAACCUUACCCGGGCUUAAAUUGCAGAUGAAUUACGGUGAAAGCCGUAAGCCGCAAGGCAUCUGUGAAGGUGCUGCAUGGUUGUCGUCAGCUCGUGCCGUGAGGUGUCGGCUUAAGUGCCAUAACGAGCGCAACCCUUGUUGUCAGUUACUAACAGGUUCCGCUGAGGACUCUGACAAGACUGCCAUCGUAAGAUGUGAGGAAGGUGGGGAUGACGUCAAAUCAGCACGGCCCUUACGUCCGGGGCUACACACGUGUUACAAUGGGGGGUACAGAGGGCCGCUACCACGCGAGUGGAUGCCAAUCCCCAAAACCUCUCUCAGUUCGGACUGGAGUCUGCAACCCGACUCCACGAAGCUGGAUUCGCUAGUAAUCGCGCAUCAGCCACGGCGCGGUGAAUACGUUCCCGGGCCUUGUACACACCGCCCGUCAAG